CUUUCUAGAAUAGUAACAACUGUUUCACUUCUCUUCUGACUCUCUUAUCACAGAGAACAAAUAUAAAAAGCUCACAAAGGAAAGAAUGAGGAUUUGCAGAGAGUACAAGAGGACGUUGAAAGGGCACUAUAUAUUACUGCUUCCUUUCUGCCAUGUUUAAUUUUUCUGCAAAAAUAAAUAAAAAUUCAACAUCCUUUUUAUAUUAAACAUGUAUCAAACGACUCUUAGCUAUCUUUGCUUGAUUUCUCAAAAUUCUCAACCCCAAAGUGAGAAAUAAUAAUAAUUGUUGCAAAAAUUACAAUAUCAUGAUGGUUUUCUUCUUUCUCUGACCAUAAAUGGAUAGAAAUCGGAUCUGAACCUACAAUUGGUGCUUGCAUUUAUGGCGCGGUGAUUUCAGUCUCUCUUGUCGUGUGACCAUGAAGCCAUUUCAACAUACAUUUAGGUUAUCUUACCUCUGGACUCAUGUUUAUAAUACUUAUGAUAUGGUAAGAGAAAUUGGAGUCACUGCCAUGACUGCAAGUUUGAAUUUUUGGAUAAAAUCUAAUUUUUGCUACUUUUUUCUUGGUUAAAAAAAAUAUGUUUCCCUUUCUAUCUCCUUUGAUCUAUUUCAUCAUCUUCAUUUGGAUCUAUUUAUUGCGGUUCUCAACUAUGGUAAGUUGGUGCUAAUACGUGAUUUUUUUAACUAUUAAUAUUUGUGCAAUGAUGUAUUUCGUAUCAACGGCGGAAAGGCAUUCCAAGGACUCAUUAAUAAAUUCAUUAAGAGUUAUUUUUUCAAAAUAGGCAAACACAUAAUGUCAAUUUAUAAAUGCUUCCUAGGAGAUGUAUGUUAGAAUUUUGUUGUAUUAUCUUGUUGUACAAAUUCAAAAAAUGCAACAUCACGGUUACCUUUCUCUAAUAACAUUAUUUUUCAUAUUAUUGAUUUGAUUGUAUUUUUUCCUUGGCAUAAUAAUUUUGAUUGGAUCUUUUAUUUAAUCAUAAAAAAAUUGUAGAAUCUAAACUUUUAGGUUAUAAUAUUUCAUCUAUCAAUUAUGAUGCUUUUAGGAAACAUGAUUCUUUUCAGCCAAGGAUUGAUGAGAGCCUAAUGUAUAAUAGGUAUUUUUUAAUAUUUAAAUAUUUUUCCUUACUAUUCGACUGAUCAAUAUAGAAAAUAUUUUAUCACCCAAAAAUAGGACAAUAAUGAUUGAUUAUAAUUGUUAUAAACACAAAAGAUAAGCGAACAUUUCUGACUGGCCAAGGUCGAACUUUCACACUCAAAUACAAGGUAAGGGCAUACCAGUUGGGAUGAUUCUACAACUACUACACCACUCCUUCAGAAAUAGUCAUAGUCUCUGCGAAAUUAUGUUAUCAUUGUUUGAUUUUACUUGAGGAUACUUGAGUCACAAAGUUAAACCUUUGAGGUACUUCUGUCAGGAGUAUAAGUAAAAUUUGAUGAUAUCCCUCUUGUUCAAAAAAUAUGUCGUAAAGAUAUUUUUUUGCACUUGAAAAUUAGGUAUUUGAGAAUUUACAUAAUUAGAAUUUUUAUUAUAUUUAUGGCCACUUGAUUGUGUUGUAUGCAAGUUUUUUUUUCCUUUUACAUAUUCAAAUAACUUAAAUUGAUGGUUUAUUUGUAUGUGUGUGAUGUCAAAGAUGAGUCUCUAUGACUAAGUACUUUUGUUUUUCUUAAAAGAGAAAAAAUUAUACAUGUUGAGAUGUUGUAUCGAUAUUUUUGCUCUUGAUUGUGAUGACAUAUUCCUUUUGCAGAAUUUGAUAAUGAAAUGACAUAACACUUGAAGUGGUUGAUUGGUUUAAUAUUCAUUAUUAGAAUGAAAUCUUUUUUCAGUUUUAGAGGAUAUUGAUUCCUUGAGAAAUGUAUGAUUGAUGACACAUAAUAUAGCAGGAAGUUGUUAUAGUGUGCACAAUUUUUAUUGUCAGUUCUUAUGCUCCAUCUUUUUUGUAAGAAACUUGAAGAAGCAGAGGACCUAUAGCAUAGCAACAACUACAAGUAGAUUUGUUUACAAAAUUAUUGAGUUUAGACUAUUACAAUUUUUUAGGAUAGAGCCGUGUUUGAUGAAUAUAUGUAAACCUUUUUGUUUGA